UUUGUCAAAAUUUAGUAUUUUCAACCCAAUAAAUUCCUACCACAAAAUAUGUCCGUAAAAUAACUAAUUUAAAGAUGAAGAUGUCGUUUCUGCAUGCGGCAGCAGCGCUAUUUACGGCGCUGCUGCUGCUUAUGCGGAAGCACGUCCUGGCCGCAGUUUGUUCGAAAAGCUUCAAGUACCGAUACACACUCGGAUAUGAAAACCAUUAUAUAGACAACGAAUCUUUCUAUAAAAGACCCAUCACUCCUACACAGAAAAUGACAAAAUGUUCACAAAACUUUUCAUUCUCCGAAAGUCCUAAAUAUAAAAAGGAUCCAGAAAUUCACGUUGAUAAUGAAGGAAUCGGUCAGCAGCCCUAUGAAGAUUAAAAAAUACUCAAAUAUCUCCAUCACAUAUCUAUGGUCCACCCUCGUCUACAUGUUUGUUUAUUUAUAAGUCAAAUAUCCCGUGUUCAAUUAUACCCUGUGAAACUAUAAAAACUUAAUAAAUAUCUGAAAAACUU